GUGAUUAGCCGUCUCUUAUUCGUAAGGUACCGUCAUUAUCUUCCCUUACAAAAGUACUUUACACCCCAAAGGGGCUUCAUCGUACACGCGGCGUCGCUCCGUCAGGCUUUCGCCCAUUGCGGAAGAUUCCUCA
rnacentral:rRNA from 1 species